rnacentral:rRNA from 1 species
CUGCUAUCUGCAGUCGAGCGACUGAUUAGAAGCUUGCUUCUAUGACGUUAGCGGCGGACGGGUGAGUAACACGUGGGCAACCUGCCUGUAAGACUGGGAUAACUUCGGGAAACCGAAGCUAAUACCGGGUAGGAUCUUCUCCUUCAUGCGAGAUGAUUGAAAGAUGGUUUCGGCUAUCACUUACAGAUGGGCCCGCGGUGCAUUAGCUAGUUGGUGAGGUAACGGCUCACCAAGGCAACGAUGCAUAGCCGACCUGAGAGGGUGAUCGGCCACACUGGGACUGAGACACGGCCCAGACUCCUACGGGAGGCAGCAGUAGGGAAUCUUCCGCAAUGGACGAAAGUCUGACGGAGCAACGCCGCGUGAGUGAUGAAGGCUUUCGGGUCGUAAAACUCUGUUGUUAGGGAAGAACAAGUACAAGAGUAACUGCUUGUACCUUGACGGUACCUAACCAGAAAGCCACGGCUAACUACGUGCCAGCAGCCGCGGUAAUACGUAGGUGGCAAGCGUUAUCCGGAAUUAUUGGGCGUAAAGCGCGCGCAGGCGGUUUCUUAAGUCUGAUGUGAAAGCCCACGGCUCAACCGUGGAGGGUCAUUGGAAACUGGGGAACUUGAGUGCAGAAGAGAAAAGCGGAAUUCCACGUGUAGCGGUGAAAUGCGUAGAGAUGUGGAGGAACACCAGUGGCGAAGGCGGCUUUUUGGUCUGUAACUGACGCUGAGGCGCGAAAGCGUGGGGAGCAAACAGGAUUAGAUACCCUGGUAGUCCACGCCGCAAACGAUGAGUGCUAAGUGUUAGAGGGGUUUCCGCCCUUUAGUGCUGCAGCUAACGCAUUAAGCACUCCGCCUGGGGAGU